CGGCGCGCCUAACACAUGCAAGUCGAACGAAGACAUCUGAGUGCUUGCACUUGGAUGGACUGAGUGGCGGACGGGUGAGUAACGCGUGGGUAACCUGCCUCAUACAGGGGGAUAACAGUUAGAAAUGACUGCUAAUACCGCAUAAGCCCACGGUACCGCAUGGCACUGAGGGAAAAGGAUUUAUUCGCUUUAGGAUGGACUCGCGUCCAAUUAGCUAGUUGGUGAGGUAACGGCCCACCAAGGCGACGAUUGGUAGCCGGACUGAGAGGUUGAACGGCCACAUUGGGACUGAGACACGGCCCAGACUCCUACGGGAGGCAGCAGUGGGGGAUAUUGCACAAUGGGGGAAACCCUGAUGCAGCGACGCCGCGUGGAGGAAGAAGGUUUUCGGAUUGUAAACUCCUGUCGUUAGGGACGAUAAUGACGGUACCUAACAAGAAAGCACCGGCUAACUACGUG
rnacentral:rRNA from 1 species